CCAAAGUACAACAAGCAAGAUACGCAGUCCCCCUCCUCCUCUCGCGCCAUCGAGCGUCGCGCCGCUCUCCCAUCGAACGAUCUUCCCCCCGCCGCCCUCCGCCGCCAUCGGCGCUCCUCCGCUCCUCCCGCCGCCGCCGCGCCGCCGCCUUCGCCGGCGAUGAGCGAUCACCGUGCCGGCUGAGCGGCCUCCCGGGGCGGCUCCGAACGAUGCUGGCUCCGGAUAAGGUAGAUGAUCGCUUCCGUCGUUGCGACCCGCGGCCUCGUCUUCUUCGACGCCAAUGCCCGUCUUAGGCCGACGCGCAGGUCCGUGAAGAAGUUCUCCGCGUCGCCGCGCGUCGCCGCGAGGGCGGCGCGGUUCGACGUCCUGGUUCCCAAUUCGAAGGGGAAGAGGAAGGGCGGCGGCGGCGGCGGCAGGCGGACGAGCUGGUGGAAGAGGUUCUUCCUCGAGGACGAUGGGAACUGGUUGGGGCUGAAGGAGGACGACAUGCUGGAGGACGAAGUGGAGGAGCAUUCGGGGGGUGGCGAGGGGUCGCCGCCGCCGCCGGGCGGGGGCGACAAGUUCGAGGCUUGGAAGAGGAGGGCGGAGGCCAUCGUGGAGCUGAGGGAAGCGCAGCAGGACUCGAGGAACGAGGAGUCUCGGAUGUGGGAGGAUUGGCUCGUCGACGACGGCGCCGCGGCAUCGUGGGAUGAUGGGAAUGGCGGAGCUGGGAAUUCGGGGGAGGAGUUGGUGUUGGAUUCCGGUGAAAGAGGUAUUGUUAAAUCAGUGAGUGAUAUGAUUUUAGGAAGAGAAGACGACGAUAUGCUGUAUGAGGAUCGUGUCUUUCGGUAUGCCUCGCAGAAUUCGGCUAAGUUUCUGGCGAUUCUAAUAAUAAUACCCUGCGCCUUGGACUUCAUGGUUCAUGACUAUGUUCUUAUGCCUUUUCUGGACAGGUAUGUAAAGACUGUUCCACUUGCAGCCCAGAUGCUUGAUGUGAGAAGGAACCAAAAACUGGAAAUGGUUAAAGAAUUGAAAGUUGAAAAGGCAAGAUAUAGGUUUGAGGAAGAGAUUGGUAAAUCUCCACCACUAUCCGACGAAGAGGCCUGGUUGGAAUUACGGCAUAAAGCCUUGGAGUUGCGAGAUGAGUGGAGACUAGAAAAUCGUAGAGCAUUUGCCAACAUAUGGUCCGAUAUGGUAUUUGGCAUUUCACUCUUUCUGAUUUUGUAUUUCAAUCAAAGUAAGGUAUCAUUGCUGAAAUUUACAGGUUACAAAAUUAUAAAUAACAUAUCGGAUACUGGGAAGGCAUUUCUUAUUAUCCUCAUCACAGAUAUUUGCCUAGGGUAUCAUUCUGAAUCUGGUUGGCAGACUUUGUUAGAAGUAAUUGUUGAGCAUUAUGGAGUGGAAGUUGAUCAGUCUGCUAUUACUUUUUUCGUAUGCCUGAUUCCCGUCAUCAUUGAUGCUUGUGUGAAGCUUUGGUUAUUCAAGUUCCUCCCUAGAUUGUCACCAAAGGUAUCAAACAUAUUCCAGGAAAUGAAGCGACAUUGAGUGGAGUUAUUCAUUGGGACAUCUGAUGCUGGUCUGAGAAAAUUAAAGCAGCCCUCAUCUCCAUUACUACAUUCAUUUUCCCUCCACAGUUUUGCUGAACCAUUCUUGGUAGAGGCUUUUCUUUCUUUUGGCAUGAGUCAGGUUCAAAUCUCUGACUCUUCUUUUUCCCCUUACUGCAAUAGAAAUGACCUACGAAUUCUUCAGAAAAUGCUUCUGGAGAAGUUCGGCAAAUUGGCCAAAUUUCUGAAUCCUCGGUCUACAAUGGCAGAGGGAGAUGACUGCUUCAGCCACUCGAGGUCCCACGGUGCCGAGCCGAGGUGAGGGUUUGCGAUUGCGAGGAUCUUGCAUACCUUCCCCAGCUGAUUGCGAGGAUCUUGCAUACCUUCACCAGCUGAUUGCGAGGGUCACGCAGCCCCUUGCUUUGCCACGGCAAGGGGCGUGCAAACCCUUGCCAAGCGGUGGCGAGAGUGUGGGCAAGCCUCGCUUCGCCGCAGGGAGAGCGGUGCAGCCCUUCCCCAACUCGAUUUGAGGGUGGUGAGGCCCUCGGCCCCUGGCAAAGGUGGGGCUGCUCUGGCCUUUGUCUCGCCCUCUUUCCAUGUUUGUUUGUUUUUUUUUUUUUCAAUUUUCUUAAUUCUAGGUUUGUAUUUCAAUUUUCUUAAUUUUCUUAAUCUUUGCACAACUCUUCCCAACUGGUUGCAUCGUCAUAAUCUCAGUUUUUCCCUGUCGAUUUCGGUACUGAUUAUAGAAACUUUGUUUCUAAUAUAAUGUGUGUCACGUGAAAUCGAUAUGAUGUUGUAAAGUCCAA